AUUGAACGCUAGCGGGAUGCUUUACACAUGCAAGUCGAACGGCAGCGCGGACUUCGGUCUGGCGGCGAGUGGCGAACGGGUGAGUAAUGUAUCGGAACGUGCCCAGUAGCGGGGGAUAACUACGCGAAAGCGUAGCUAAUACCGCAUACGCCCUACGGGGGAAAGCAGGGGAUCGUAAGACCUUGCACUAUUGGGGCGGCCGAUAUCGGAUUAGCUAGUUGGUGAGGUAACGGCUUACCAAGGCGACGAUCCGUAGCUGGUUUGAGAGGACGACCAGCCACACUGGGACUGAGACACGGCCCAGACUCCUACGGGAGGCAGCAGUGGGGAAUGUUGGACAAUGGGGGCAAACCUGAUCCAGCCAUCCCGCGUGUGCGAUGAAGGCCUUCGGGUUGUAAAGCACUUUUGGCAGGAAAGAAACGUCGCGGGCUAAUACCCCGUGGAACUGACGGUACCUGCAGAAUAAGCACCGGCUAACUACGUG
rnacentral:rRNA from 1 species